UGUGUGUGUGUGUGUAAAGUCAAAGGGGAGUUAAUGAGGUAUUUUCACGAGUCAUCACGAGGGUUCUAGGAGCACCCAUAACACGAUAAGCCCCUAGAGUUAAUUUUAGACAAUGUAGAAAAAU